UUGAUUAAGUCGCGAUAAUAUCGGAACACUUGCAUGUCCUGGUGGGAUCGUAUGGAUAUUUAAGAUGGAAUAA